rnacentral:rRNA from 1 species
AUUGAACGCUGGCGGCAGGCUUAACACAUGCAAGUCGAGCAGGGUGAUGGUGCUUGCACUAUCACUUAGCGGCGGACGGGUGAGUAAUGCUUAGGAAUCUGCCUAUUAGUGGGGGACAACAUCUCGAAAGGGAUGCUAAUACCGCAUACGUCCUACGGGAGAAAGCAGGGGAUCACUUGUGACCUUGCGCUAAUAGAUGAGCCUAAGUCGGAUUAGCUAGUUGGUGGGGUAAAGGCCUACCAAGGCGACGACCUGUAGCGGGUCUGAGAGGAUGGUCCGCCACACUGGGACUGAGACACGGCCCAGACUCCUCCGGGAGGCAGCAGUGGGGAAUAUUGGACAAUGGGGGGAACCCUGAUCCAGCCAUGCCGCGUGUGUGAAGAAGGCCUUAUGGUUGUAAAGCACUUUAAGCGAGGAGGAGGCUCUUUUGGUUAAUACCCAAGAUGAGUGGACGUUACUCGCAGAAUAAGCACCGGCUAACUCUGUGCCAGCCGCCGCCGUAA